CGUAAUUACACAGGGUUUUUUUUUUGUUGUUGUUUUUGAUAGGUGUUUUUUUGUUCUUUGGUUAGAAACAUAUUUUCAAAUUUUGGAUUUGUGGUGGCUUUGUAUUUUUACUGAUGACAAUCUGAUAUCCCUGCUUUUAUAUGUCAUUUUAUUCCUUUCCCUUAUAGUCAACAUCUUUAUUUUCCCCUUCCCUCUCAUUAGGAAAUAAAUAAAAUAUUCAAAUAUAUAUUUGAACAAAUUGUUUAAUAAUCAGGAAUGUAAUGUAAAAAAUAUUGCAAAUGAGAUUGUGGUCUUCCUUUUGGAAAAAGCUAGGAAAUCAAUUUUAAGUAUAUUCCAAGGGGCCCAUGAAUAUACUAAUUUUGCCUGAGCCCAACAGAUAACAUUCAGGUGGGCUAAAGGUAUUUUCUGGAGAAGUUGAUGUCAGAGCUGGAAAUAGGACUAGAAAGCUGGGUCAUGGAAGAGAGUUGCUCCCAAAUAUGUGAAAAGUAUAUAAAUACCAUUAACUGUAAACCCUAUUGAUCUGAUCUAGGGCCCAUAUUUAGCACAGGAGCCUGUGUAACCUUUGCAUCCAUGUAGGUCUGAGCUUGCAUUCUGUGGUCAUAUCUAGGAACAUUCUAGUCUUCACUCACUUCAGGACCUGCUGGGCUAGCCUGAGAGUGUUUCUUCCUGGGCACGUGCUCUCUAGUUUAGAGAGAACUUGACCGGAGCCAACCUGGGCUGCUGCUUACUCAGCGACUCAGGAGAGGAACCAGGAAACGUGGCUGAGUGGGAAUGCAAUGCAAUCCUUUAUUGAUCAGAGAAAAAUGCCUUUUAUAUCUUCUGAAGAGGAAGUGGCAAGUGGGAAAAGGAAUGGCUAGGAAAGGGAGUGGAGUGCAAAAUCUUCCAUAGCAGCUGUUGUGAAGGUUCUCACCAGUGGGGAUUAAACCAAUAGCCUGCAGGCAGGGCGGGUCUCAGGCAAAACAGUGAUUAUGUAAAUAGACCAAAGCAAUGCAAUGGAUCUGGCAUAAUGACCAACAAGGACCCAUCUUCCUCAAAUGGCAGAGUAUGUUGAACUAGUCUCCCUUCAGAGAGUAGAGCAGGCCUGCCAUUGUUCUACAUUGAGGGCAAGGUCCUGUAGAGGCCCUCUGGAGGGUCCAUGAUACUCUUCCUGAUAGAAAUUGCCAGUGAUGGUGGAGAAAGAGAUUCAUUAGAGAUCUAGGCCUAUCAUAUCUAUCUGGGAAUACCAGGAUUCCCUCACUAGGGGUCUGGAUGAUGGGGUGGCCCAGUAGUGACCAAAAGAGCCAUAAUUUAAGUAAGCCAGUCAGAGUUUCUUUAGAAGACCUGGCUGCUUUCCUGUCUGAGUAAUAAGAUAUUCUGAACUCAAUUUUAUGAGAAAAUGCCCUCAACCUCUACAACUUUAACACCCGGUGUUCUCCAUUUCACCCUUUCACCUUCCUUCCUCCUGGUCAACCAGCUCAGACAGUUCUCAUUUCUACACUUUGUAUCUUCAGUAUUUCCCUUCCCUUCUACUCAUACUGCUGCUUCUGUACUCUCAUCCUUCUCUGGAAUCUUUCCUUUUCCUGUCAUCACUCUGAUUUCUCCAAGGACACAAGGAGCACCAUAGAGAAGAUCUGCCAGUUCCUGGGCAAGAACUUAGAGCCAGAAGAGAUUAACUCAGUCCUCAAGCACAGCUCCUUCCAGGCUAUGAGAGACAACAAAAUGACUAACUACACAAUUCAGGAUGACGCUUAUUUUAAUUUGAAUAAUGGUCCAUUUCUGAGAAAAGGCAUUUCCGGAGACUGGAGAAACCACUUGACGGUGGCCCAGGCAGAAGCCUUUGACAGAGCAUUCCAGGAGAAGAUGGUGGAUCUCCCUCCAGAGCUGUUUCCCUGGGAGUGACGUCUGAACCAAGUCUCUAGAUUCCUUGUGGCUGUUGCCCAUUGUUCUCUCAUCUUUCUAUGUGUACGUGAUGAGGGUCAUCAAAUAAAACUACUUAUUUUAGGUGAAACAUGGA